rnacentral:rRNA from 1 species
AUUGAACGCUGGCGGCAGGCCUAACACAUGCAAGUCGAACGAGUGGCGGACGGGUGAGUAAUGUCUGGGAAACUGCCUGAUGGAGGGGGAUAACUACUGGAAACGGUAGCUAAUACCGCAUACCCUCAGAUGUGCCCAGAUGGGAUUAGAGUGUUGGUGGGGUAACGGCGCACGAAGGCGACGCUCCCUAGCUGGUCUGAGAGGAUGACCAGUCACACUGGAACUGAGACACGGUCCAUACUCCUACGGUAGGCAGCAGUGGGGUAUAUUGCACAAUGGGCGCAAUCCUGAUGCAGCCAUGCCGCGUGUAUGAAGAAGGCCUUCGGGGUGUAAAGUACUGUCAGCGGGGAGGCGUUACCCGCAGAAGAAGCACCGGCUAACUCCGUGCCAGCCGCCGCGGUAAUUC